CAGUUAAUAGAUCUGAGCAAUUUCAAAAAUUUACUUCACGAUUCGUGUUUAAUUUAUAAUAAAAUACCAGAACGCAAGCUUACUGAAUCGGAUUGUUAUUCAUGUGAAAGCAUCGAUCGAGUGGAUGUUGUCCUCAGACCAGAGGGCAUUUUAGAAUCGUACGCGGAUCUCAAUUGGCCAUUUGCGUACCAAAGUGAUGUUAAAACCACCGUCACCGUUGAAGAUUUAGCCCUUGUUCUUUUAAACGGAGACCUCUUACCUUGCGAUUAUGAAUCCAACUUGAAAAUCGAUCCCCUUCGAGCAAUCGAAAUGAAGUAUGGAUGGUUUAUGCAUUGG